ACCCUGGACUCGGCUUACCGAGCAUUCCUAUCGCAGAGGUGCCCGAGGAAUGGCGACAGUUCGGUCUUGAACGACCUCGAUCCAACGACGCCGGACACCUUCGACAACCACUACUACACCAACAUCGAAGUGAACCGGGGGUUCCUCACCUCCGAUCAGGAGCUCAAGUCCGCACCCGAAGCGCAGGGCACCACGGCACCGAUUGUCGAUCAGUUCGCGAGCAGCCAGGAUGCCUUCUUUGCUAGUUUUGCACAGUCCAUGAUCAACAUGGGGAACAUAAGGCCAGUGACGGAUCCAUCCCAAGGGGAAGUCAGGACAAACUGCAGAAGGAUCAACUGAAGUUAAUCAAGGAGGAAAGAAACUGUGCGUUCGGUUUAUUUAUAUACUUGAUUACAAAUAAGAGCUCAAAUUUGGCUCCUCAAGUGUGAUGAUAUUAGAUAUACUUUUCAUUUUCCAACUUUAAUUAUUUGUUUCUGGGAGGCAAGGAGGAACUGCAGAUCAAGGAUUUACGCUCAUGUCGUGUGGAUGAAUCAGUUUGAACAAUGUUUUGAGAGC
rnacentral:lncRNA from 1 species